ensembl:lncRNA COX10-DT COX10 divergent transcript
UCCGGCGGGCGGGCUCCGAAAGGAGAGCGUGGUGUCUGGAGGUGAUCGGAAGGGACUGGCUGGAGUGUGGCGGGCUGACAGGUCUGAGGCCUGAAGGACUUCCGGGAACCGCAAAGCACGGUGUGCCUCCGCUGUCCUGAAGAAAAAGCCGCGCGCGGACGACUGGCCGGCCCGCGCUUGCAGCUCCCAGAAGUUGACAGGCAUCCUCCGGUGACCGGUGUGAGUAUGGCAUCAGGAUGAUUUGACUGCAAGCAACAGAAAAAUCAAACAAAAAUGGCCUAAGCCAAGAAGAGAAAUGAUUAUUUCACAUUCCAAGAAGUUUGGGAGUCGAGUGGUUAAACGGCUAAUUAAUCUAGAGCUCAACAGUAUCACCCAGGACCCAUUUUCACUAUGGUGGCUAAAGCUCUGCACCCUUCAGGCUUGCACCAUGGCAGCAGCAGUGACAGUAAAGACACCCUUACACCACAAUGCUCCAUGACCAGGGAGAGGGUCUCCUCUCUCCUGCCCCUUUCUGGAGGCUCCACCGAAGAUUUCUCUUCACAUUCCGUUUCUCAUUCCUGAAGCAGUUGCUGGCAACAGGGAUGGACUUACCGCAAUGGGUACAGAGCAACUAAGAUUCACCACUAGUGAACCAUUUAGGGAUGGCCACGUGACUCAGUUCUGGUCACCAAGGUGGUGGAAGAGAAGUUCUCUUGAGGGGCAUCUGGGAAAGAUUCUUCUGCCUGAUAAAACAGGAGGUAAGCAAGGGUUCUGCUCCCCCAUUUGUUUCUGCCUUUGAACGUGGCUGUGGGAAGACAUGAUGCUUAGUGUUGCUGCAGCUAUCUCAUGACCUUGGGCAAAACAUCCCAACACACAGGAGGGCCAAACAAGCAGUCAGAAGAAGCCUGAGUCUUGUGGGUGUUGUUGAGCAGCUGAACAAACCCUAGGAUGGCUUCCUUCCAGACUUCUUAGGAUUGCGAACAAUGAAGCUCUAUUGUUUAAGCAAGGUAUCGAUGGCUAUUUUCACUUGCCACUGAAAGCACCAGGACAGAGAAUCGUCUUUCUAGGAAUACAGCCACAAAAGCCUUCAUUAUGGUAUAUGCACAUAAAGAAUAUAAAAGUUUCCUUUAUGUUUCUCUUUAAAAUAUAGCUGAAGUCUGCCUCAGGCAAAAAGACAAACAGAAAACAUAAAUGCAUACAUAAUUCAAGAACAAUAAAUAUUUAUUUUAAAAUGAAUAAAUGUUCUGCAGGAUAUUGUAAUAGUUUUCUCAGGGAAUAUAUUUUUCUAAUACUUAUAUCAACUAACAGUAUUUCUGUGGCAUCUCCAGGUCCUCUGUGUUUAAGUCCUCCCUAGAAACUGCAUUUCUCUCCUUUUUCCUGCUACUUUGGAUCUCAAAUGUGCCUAAAAAGAAAUACUUUUAACUUCUCUGGUUUUUCUUUUUUCAAAUAUUAACUUGUAACUUGCAGUUGUAACAUGGUUGUUGCUAGCUAGCUGUCAAGUAUUUGUCCAAAAAUGUGUUCCUAGAAUACCUUCAUCUUACAGUCACUCAAUCCAUAAUAGAGUUUAAACAUUUUUCCAUAAUAUUUCACAGAAUAUUCAUGUUUUUACAUAAAAAACACUUUUAAUAUAUGAACUAUCUGCAACACACAGCAAAAUCCCAGUUAUAUGACAUCAAUAGCCAUAUACUAAAAUACACCUAACAAUAUUCAUAUUAAACUCAAAUUUAAUAUAUGUUAAUAUGUAGGCAUAUUUACUUAUACAUAAAGCUGUAGAUUUCUCUCUAUCCUUCCCCCGUACUUCCCAGAGGUAACCAUUGUAUUGAUGAUGAUGUUGAUGACAGCAACAAUGAUGAUGAUAAUGAUGGUAAUAAAAACCGCAAAUUUGCUGUAUGCCAGGCAGUAUUCUAAGCACUUUACAUACAUUAACUCCUUAAAUGUCCACCGCAGACAUAUGACAUAGAUACUAUUAUUAUCCUUCAUUUUAUAGAUGAGAGGUUGAGAAAAAAAUUGGUUAAGCAGCUUGUCCAAGGCCACACAGCUGGUGUGCCAGGAUUCCAACACAGGCAAUCUGGCCCUGGAGCCCUUUGCCGUAUCCCAUUGCUAUAUGGAUAUUGCUGUGUAUCAUUAUAUACUUUCUCUAAACAUGUAUGCAACCAUAAAAAGCUAUACAUAGGAUUUCUCUCCUUUUUAAAAAGUAUAUAAUCUUAUAACAUUUAUGGGGUCUUUUUCCAGUUAUUUUGCUAUUAUGAAAAAUGUUGCAAUGAAUAGUCUUGAAUAUACAUCCUUGUGCAUUUACUCUCUGGUAAACAUCUAGAAGCCAAAUUUCUGCUUGGUAGAUUACUCAUAUUAACAUUUUUUUUUUAGUUAUUCCAAAAUUGCUCUUCAAAGUAAUUGUACCAAUUUGCAGUUCUGCCAGCACUGUAUAAGUUUUCCAUUUCUCGCUAACUCCAUCAAUUCUUUGUAUCAUUGAGUUCGCUGAUUUUUGCUAAUCUGACUGAUGUGAGGUGGUAUUUCAUUAUUCUCAUUUGCACUCUUCUUUGAUUGCUAGAGAGGUAAGAGCAUCUUUUCAUAUGCUUGUUAUCUAUUUAUGCUUAUUUUUUUCUUGGAUUUUCAUUUUGUCUGAUUUUAAACGAAUUCUAUGACAUUCUGCUGAAUAAAGUGAGUUACAUA